rnacentral:sRNA from 1 species
UUCUAGCCCCGAUAGUAGUGAAAAUCCUUUUUAUUUUUUCUUUAAAAAUAAAAAGAUUGUAACGGAUAGCGGGAAAUAGC